AGCGAACGCUGGCGGCAGGCUUAACACAUGCAAGUCGAGCGGGCGUAGCAAUACGUCAGCGGCAGACGGGUGAGUAACGCGUGGGAACGUACCUUUUGGUUCGGAACAACACAGGGAAACUUGUGCUAAUACCGGAUAAGCCCUUACGGGGAAAGAUUUAUCGCCGAAAGAUCGGCCCGCGUCUGAUUGCUAGUUGGUGUGGUAACGGCGCACCAAGGCGACGAUCAGUAGCUGGCUGAGAGGAUGAUCAGCCACAUUGGGGACUGAGACACGGCCCAAACUCCUACGGGAGGCAGCAGUAGGGAAUAUUGGACAAUGGGCGCAAGCCUGAUCCGGCCAUGCCGCGUGAGUGAUGAAGGCCCUAGGGUUGUAAGCUCUUUUGUGCGGGAAGAUAAUGACGGUACCGCAAGAAUAAGCCCCGGCUAACUUCGUGCCAGCCGCCGCAGUAAU
rnacentral:rRNA from 1 species